UUGAAGAGUUUGAUCAUGGCUCAGAUUGAACGCUGGCGGCAGGCCUAACACAUGCAAGUCGAGCGGUAGCACAGAGAGCUUGCUCUCGGGUGACGAGCGGCGGACGGGUGAGUAAUGUCUGGGAAACUGCCUGAUGGAGGGGGAUAACUACUGGAAACGGUAGCUAAUACCGCAUAAUGUCGCAAGACCAAAGUGGGGGACCUUCGGGCCUCAUGCCAUCAGAUGUGCCCAGAUGGGAUUAGCUUGUAGGUGGGGUAACGGCUCACCUAGGCGACGAUCCCUAGCUGGUCUGAGAGGAUGACCAGCCACACUGGAACUGAGACACGGUCCAGACUCCUACGGGAGGCAGCAGUGGGGAAUAUUGCACAAUGGGCGCAAGCCUGAUGCAGCCAUGCCGCGUGUGUGAAGAAGGCCUUCGGGUUGUAAAGCACUUUCAGCGGGGAGGAAGGCGGUGAGGUUAAUAACCUCAUCGAUUGACGUUACCCGCAGAAGAAGCACCGGCUAACUCCGUGCCAGCAGCCGCGGUAAUACGGAGGGUGCAAGCGUUAAUCGGAAUUACUGGGCGUAAAGCGCACGCAGGCGGUCUGUCAAGUCGGAUGUGAAAUCCCGGGCUCAACGGGAACUGCAUUCGAAACUGGCAGGCUAGAGUCUUGUAGAGGGGGUAGAAUUCGGUGAAAUGCGUAGAGAUCUGGAGGAAUACCGGUGGCGAAGGCGGCCCCCUGGACAAAGACUGACGCUCAGGUGCGAAAGCGUGGGGAGCAAACAGGAUUAGAUACCCUGGUAGUCCACGCCGUAAACGAUGUCGAUUUGGAGGUUGUGCCCUUGAGGCGUGGCUUCCGGAGCUAACGCGUUAAAUCGACCGCCUGGGGAGUACGGCCGCAAGGUUAAAACUCAAAUGAAUUGACGGGGGCCCGCACAAGCGGUGGAGCAUGUGGUUUAAUUCGAUGCAACGCGAAGAACCUUACCUGGUCUUGACAUCCACAGAACUUAGCAGAGAUGCUUUGGUGCCUUCGGGAACUGUGAGACAGGUGCUGCAUGGCUGUCGUCAGCUCGUGUUGUGAAAUGUUGGGUUAAGUCCCGCAACGAGCGCAACCCUUAUCCUUUGUUGCCAGCGGUCCGGCCGGGAACUCAAAGGAGACUGCCAGUGAUAAACUGGAGGAAGGUGGGGAUGACGUCAAGUCAUCAUGGCCCUUACGACCGGGCUACACGUGCUACAAUGGCAUAUACAAAGAGAAGCGACCUCGCGAGAGCAAGCGGACCUCAUAAAGUAUGUCGUAGUCCGGAUUGGAGUCUGCAACUCGACUCCAUGAAGUCGGAAUCGCUAGUAAUCGUAGAUCAGAAUGCUACGGUGAAUACGUUCCCGGGCCUUGUACACACCGCCCGUCACACCAUGGGAGUGGGUUGCAAAAGAAGUAGGUAGCUUAACCUUCGGGAGGGCGCUUACCACUUUGUGAUUCAUGACUGGGGUGAAGUCGUAACAAGGUAACCGUAGGGGAACCUGCGGUUGGAUCACCUCCUU
rnacentral:rRNA from 1 species